rnacentral:lncRNA from 1 species
CCGCCGUAAAGGUUGCUAAAUUAUGAAAAAGCGAACGCUCGAAGGGAUGUUCCACUAAAGCAGGAGAAAUGAUAAUGGACAUAUCAUAUUUUUUUACAACUGAUAUGUUGUACUAGCGAGUUUCUAGAUUGUAUUGGGGUUUACCUGCGGAAUACAAAAUAAUGGGCAAAUACUGCAGAAUAAAAGGCAAAAAAAAAGAUUGAAUGAUGAGGUGCUAAAA